rnacentral:lncRNA from 1 species
UUUUUUUUUUUUUUAAGCCUCUGAUCUUAGAAAAUUCCCUGCAGGUUAAUUAAAAGCUUUACUUUCCAGCCUCUGGGGUGUUGUGCUAAAUAUAUUUGUUGGUUUGCAUGUCAACAGCAACUGAUAUUAGUGAAGAGCUUAGCAACAUCAAAGGAUUGAGUCAAAGAAGAGGGGAAAAGAAACUCAAAUACCACAGCUGAAUUACUGUCUGGCCUUCAGCGCUUAUUAAAAUCACCUAAUUCUACACAAGAAGCACUUUAUGAAAAGGCUUCUGGUAAAUAACUAUAUUCAAACAAGACACACUUUUAAAUUAAAUAAAGCACUCCAGUGUUCACAUUGGUUUAUAAGAAUAUGACUGCAUGUCGACUGAGUCAAGAGUAAUUGACGAAUACAAUGUGAUAAAAAUGAUUAUAUGUUAAAGUCUUUGAUAAACUACCGCCCCCAACAAUACACACACACACACACACACAUAUACACACACACACACAGAGACUAUCACCGCCACUCUGGACAAAAGGCCGGGCAGACUCUUUUAUCACCCUUUAUUAUAAAAUUAAAAGGAAGAAUCAAGAUAAUAUUGGUCAGGAGUUUCACUCUCUUGAGCCAGAAUUCUAACCUUUUUUCAAAUUCUAAAUCUGACGGUGAUCAGGAUGUUUUUUUUUAAAAAAAAAGCUUUCAAAGCAAAAAACAGGAUUUCUCCAAAAGACAGCCUUUAAAAUGAUUGCUCCCUUUGAGGGGCAGCCCAAUUCAAACUUAUUCUAAAACUAACACACAAUUUCUUAGGAAAGAUAUUUAGCCUCCUUACAGCCGACCCCCCUUGAUUUAUCAUAAGUAGUCAGCAUCAAAAACAAAUUCCAUUAAGUCCUUCUCUGGAGUUCUGAACCCUCUGCUUCUACUACUGACUUAAAGAUCCCGCAGUGUGUUAGGGACACACAUACACACCCCCCAAUGAGGUUAGGGUCAUUUAGCACUUGCUUACUUGGCUUCCCCAGGGAGUUCACAACUUCAGCUUGAGUGGUGAUGUUGGGGAAAUGACAGCCCCCGCCCCCUUCCUGCAGGUAACUCCUCACUUAGCAGCCACCACAAUCCACUGAUCCCACCCCCACGUCAGUCUCAGUCACAGCCUGAAGCUGUCACCCUCACUGUCCCCUGCGCUCACCCUACCCCCACCCCCCAGCCUGGAUGUUCAACCACAAUAGGCUGGACACAUGCCCAGAAAACACGCUUUUAGGCUAUAUAACUGGGUAGACUACACUCACAUUAGCCACUUCCUUGUCCGUGAGUCACUGAGCAGCCCUAUAAAAAUCAAAAGGGGAUAAUGGAAAUUCUGUGGAAAACCAGAAGGAAAGAAAAAAAACAUAAGAAUCAACUCGAAGUGGUGAGAAAGUCACAAGAAAUCACAACUGAAUCUCAUCUCUUAGGACUGAAUACAAAUUCAAAGGUUCUGUAUUAGGUAAGGUAACUGCUAGCUGCUGAAACAAACACAUCUGACUUAACAAAAUAAAAGUUUACCACUGCAAAGAAAAUUGAGGAGCAUAGUCUACUUGAUGUUCAGGAAGGAGAGAAAACAGGUUGCUGAGAAACCAUGCUUUACCAUAGUUCCCUAGGACAAUCUUUCAUACCUCCCCCUAGUCACCUGUACACAGGUAUGGGGUACUUGUCUUUGAACCCCUCCAGUGCUGGGCACCUCAUCCCCAACUGUAAAGCGUAUUGCAUCCUCAGGGCCCGAUCAAAUGGACCCUUAGAAAAUCUGAUGCCUGGGUGGGUCCUGCCUGGGGUUAGAUGGCUUUCCACAUCCUGCAUCAGAAGAGAGAUACACAGGUAUGCGUUCGAUACCGCAACUGAGAUUCAAUUCUGAACUGACUCCCUGUAUUACCAGAAAUGCAGGCUCUACAUCUGUAAGAACAAAGGGAAACUUUGAAAGCCACCCCAAUUUGCUUCUGGAAGGCUUUGGAGCCACAGAAAUAAAGACCCAGGUCACAUUUUGAGUACCUAAAUCUAAAUGCAUUGUAAGAAUCACCGACUCUUGUCCACUCAUUUGGUCUUUAGGAACAGGGGAUGUUUGUAAUUGGUGACGCUCUAGACACAGGUGAAGGAUUGUGAUUGCUGAUUUGCAUGACAGGUACAUAUUAAUUCAAACUGACUACAUAAUAGGUUUACUAGGGUUUAUUAGUGAAUUCACUCUUCCUUGAGAAGACUGAAGAAAAUAAAUGCGACACAGACACACACACACCCCGAGCACGUCCUGCCUAUUUAUUAGCAUCUCUAUGGACACUGGCUUCCGCUCCUCUCAGUGUUUCACAUACUGGGCAUCACUCCUAAGAACCUGAGCCUGAUUCUACAUAGAAGUUACUGCUGCAGUGAAGUGUGAUCGUAUUGGAAAACCUGUCCCCUUGCUGCAUGUCAGAGUCAAGGUGAUCGGUAAUACAGGACGUGCUAGCUCCUGACAACAACUGCAGCUGCUGGACGCUACAAACAGUGAAAAGGCAUGAGGAAAGAUUUUAACUAGAGAUUUUAACUAAAAAGCUUUCAGGAGAAAGAGGAAAGGAGGAACGGGCAGGACCCACCCUCAUGAAAUACUUUUCUGUCCUAAAUUAGAGGAAGGUUUUACACUUCAUCUGGGAGAGUCCCAUUUCCUGAGGACUUUCAUAGACAGAUGAUAUUUGUCAGGGGCAACAAUAAUGCUGAUAUUUGCAUGUUUCAAACAUAUGCGUGACCUUAACAGAGGCAGGCACAGGGAGGGCUCUGGAAAUACAGCUGAUGACAUCUGUGGAGUGGAGACAGCAAGCUCACAAGAGCACUGGGGUAGGAGGGAGGGCCAGGGAUUACAGAAAGGACAGCAGUGGUGGGAGCCAUCUGGGGGCUGUGGCCUUUGUGGCGGUGCGGGGUGGGGGUGAUAUGAUGCUGGCUUGGGGCUGUGUCUCCCAGAGCCAGCCAGUAGGAAUGAAAAUAGCUCUGAUAACAGAUGCAGAAAAAAGAUCUGAGGCUGUUAGACUCCAAAUGAGCCUUUUAUGUCCUCAAUUCCUUAAAUUCAGGUGCCAUAUUACAGACAGGUAAUUUCAUCGAAGUAGCUUACUUCUAAUGACAAUGGACAUGCCCAUUUCCAGCAGGCUUCUGAUAGAUUUUUCUCUCCCCAAGACAAACAACAACAACAACAAACCAAAAAAUUCCCUUGAUUCCAGCCUUUAUCUCUCUAGCUUGCCAUGUGAUAAUUCCACGCAACCAGGAGAGUAUCUUUAGCCUGCUAUUUGAGGCUGACGGCUGCUUCAAAGAUCUUGAUAAUGCCAGUGUUUAGAAGAUUGAUAUCGAGUACAAACAUCUAAGGAGAUGCAUUUGGUUUCCAACAAACCCACAAGAGCUUGUACAACAAGAAAACAGGAGCAGGGGGAGUCUUUUCUAAUGAGCUUAGAGCAUUUUAACGCAUUCCCAAAUUACCUAAGAGCAGCUUUAUGAGAUGGGGAAGGGAAAUAGAGAAAACCAGAAAUGACUUUCCCCAAGCCUGCAUGCGCAGGGACAGGGUAACAGGUCAUCCAGGGCCUGUCACAGAUAAGCCCCGACGACUGUCUCCUGGUGAUGAUGGGACCUUAAGGGUUAGAACCUUGCUGACACCUCAACUUUCCUUACUGACACCUCAACUUUCCUUACUGACACCGUAGCCUUUAUCGCAGAAGGAUGCUUGAAAGUGCAAGGAGGGACUUGCUAUUAGUAAAAGAUAGGCACGGACCAAAAAUCCACUUGGAAAAGGAGUCUUUAUGACUAUUUUACAGAUAGAGAUACUGAGGCAGAGAAGGCAAAUGGCAGGAAGGAAGGGGCAGAGCUGGGCAAGCCCUCAGACCUUCAGGUCCCAACCCCACCCUCUCCCCAGGUGGCGACACUCAAGGCUGAACCCCUCUUUUAAGUCGCCCUUCAACAGAACAGAGCCAGGAGAGACCAGGUGCCGUUUUGGUAAAGCGUGUGUUCCAUCUGAUCGAAUUCUGCCGGGAGAUAACUUCACUGACAUUCUGAUUUCUCUAAUGUCAAAACAGGUAAAGGAUCAUAAAGUGAAAAUUAAAUCUCAGGUGAGUUGGAGAAAACUGUCAGGCUUAAAAAGAGAAGACAGGAAGAAAGAAGGGGAAAAAGCCACGUAGUCUCUCUCACAACAGCAGGAAUCACAGUCAGCAGUGCGCUAGUUUCAAUGACAACAUCAAGGCAGCCACCCUGCAAAGGCCUCUGCUGGCUUUCCUGCUCCCAGCAAAGCAUUCUGGGGAGAAAGUCAUCAGCAACAGAGCUAGAAAAGGUUUGUAGAGGAUGCUGAGAUGGGGAGAGUCCUUGAAAUGAAAUUUGUACGUUGGGAAAAUUUAAAUGAGGGCGUAGGACAAUAUAAGAAUAACUGUACUUAUAUAAACACUUACCCUAAGGGAGCCAUGAAUUCUAAGAAGCAUUUAUUCUUUGGGGAGAAAAGGAAAAGAGAGCAUGAACUGGCGGGGGAGGGAGGCCUAUGAAUUGUCAUCAUUUCUAUCUGGGGAGAGAGGAAUACAGGGGGGAGGGAAGGGAAUGAAUUCACCCUACACUGUAAAGACAUGCCCUUGACAUUGAGCUAGAAGUACUUUCCAAGAUGCCUGCUUCACCUGUUUUGCCUGCUGGGCAUGGCUUGAGCACUGGGGACAUGUGGUACAAUAACUGCAAAGAGCAAAUCAGUAAAUCUUUUUAUAUUAUUAAAAAAAUAGAUUUCAAGAACAAAAUCUGACAGUUAUCAGGGAAUGAGUCUUAAGCUCUGUUUCUAGAGGGUGCGGGACAUUCUCCCUUUGAAAAGACUACAAAAUGCAGCUUUGAGUAUGGAACGGCUGAUGUCAAGUUGACAGGUCCAAUAGGUGACAAACAGGGGUGUUCCACCAAGGGAGAAGAUGGGCCCCGUGGCGGGGGUUCUUCUAAAGCCACAUGCAGCACCAGUGGUGACUUCCACACAUCUUAAAAUUCAGGUCAGCUGGAAGCUAAAAAGGGAUAUUUUUCUCUCUGGAAAAAAUGGUAUUUUUGAGUAAAAUCUAAAACCUAAGCAGAGAACAUCAGGUACAAAGAGGCCCAGCUCUAAGGUACACAUUUCUUCCUCUGCUCCGGGCUUUCAUUUUUCUCCUGUGGAGUCACAGUGGGGUUGACCUCUUAUCUGGGACAAGAGCCCCUCCUGUGAUUCUGCAUUAGAGGAGC